GACAGAGGGGGCAAGCGUUGCUCGGAAUUACUGGGCGUAAAGGGCGCGUAGGCGGGAUGGCAAGUCGGUCGUGAAAUCCUUCGGCUCAACCGAAGAACGUCGAUCGAUACUGCUGUUCUUGAGGGUUGCAGAGGAGACUGGAAUUCCCGGUGUAGCGGUGAAAUGUGUAGAUAUCUGGAGGAACACCGGUGGCGAAGGCGGCAUCCUGGACCAACACUGACGCUGAGUGAGCGAAAGCCAGGGGAGCAAACGGG
rnacentral:rRNA from 1 species